rnacentral:rRNA from 1 species
GACGAACGCUGGCGGCGUGCUUAACACAUGCAAGUCGAACGGAAAGGCCCUGCUUUUGUGGGGUGCUCGAGUGGCGAACGGGUGAGUAACACGUGAGUAACCUUCCCUUGACUUUGGGAUAACUUCAGGAAACUGUGGCUAAUACCGGAUAGGAGCUCCUGCUGCAUGGUGGGGGUUGGAAAGUUUCGGCGGUUGGGGAUGGACUCGCGGCUUAUCAGCUUGUUGGUUGGGUAGUGGCUUACCAAGGCUUUGACGGGUAGCCGGCCUGAGAGGGUGACCGGCCACAGUGGGACUGAGAUACGGCCCAGACUCCUACGGGAGGCAGCAGUGGGGAAUAUUGCACAAUGGGCGGAAGCCUGAUGCAGCAACGCCGCGUGCGGGAUGACGGCCUUCGGGUUGUAAACCGCUUUCGCCUGUGACGAAGCGUGAGUGACGGUAAUGGGUAAAGAAGCACCGGCUAACUACGUG